GUUGAAAACCGUUUAUCAUUUUCUUCUGCUCCUCGUUGGGUUCGACACUCUUCUAUCGAAAGGACUACCAUAGAUCGCCUGUACUCACCGCCGCCUCCGAUCGCCGCCAUGCUCACCACCACCUCUCGCUGACAGGGCUUCGCCCGUACAUCUGGCACGAAGGGCAGGCGGAUCCGGCGGGGAGGUGUAGAAGGGCUCCCCGUCAUCCGUUCCCGCCGGCCACGUAGCUGGCCGAUCCGAAUCUGGUUGCUGACCUCAGGCACAGCGGUGUGGUGAGGCUAGAAGGAGGGACGGCAUCCUCAUAUCGUCGGGCAAGGUCUGCUUACCUCAGCCGAGCAGCGCUGUUGAUCUUCAUGGCGAGGCCCUCCCAGUCGGCGGUGAAGUAGCCGGAGCUGGACCGAGGUCGAGCGCGACAAGCUACUC
rnacentral:rRNA from 1 species